rnacentral:tmRNA from 1 species
GGGGCUGCAAUGGUUUCGACGGAGGCAACAAAACACAAUAAGCGGGCGGAUGCGCCUACCAUCCUAAAAAUGGGCAUCUUUAUAAAUUAAAGAACAACUAUAACGAACUUCCGGUAGCCGCUUAAGGCUGCCCGUCCGAGUCGGAUAAGUCCACGCACCGACCGGGCGUCGAAUAGUGGAGAACGUGAGUGCGAUGAGCUUGGACGCGCACCAUGAACAAAAAGCUACCGAACCGCGCCGCGUGACGGCUUGCGACGCGAUGAGGGAACAGGCACACGACGUCUGACGCCGAGGCUGCCGCAAUAACCGUCUGCGCCCGGAGAAGCUUGUGCGGAGAGGUUUUCGGACGGGGGUUCAAUUCCCCCCAGCUCCACCA